CAACCAAUAGUUUUAAUAUUUAGCCAUUGAGUUAUUUACUUUAAACUUUUAUAGUUUAUGAAUCGAAGUAUCUAGUUAUUUGGUGUAUGUUCGAAAAUUCAAGCGCUUAGUGCAAUAAUUUUCGAUCUUUACAUUUGCGCAAAUGCACUCAUAUGGGCUGUGUGUUUGUAUAUUUCUGUAUGCGGGAAAUAUUAAUGUCGAAGCCGGCUCACACCAUUAUGUGUUUCUCUCGUUCACAAAGAGACAGCUGUGUAAUACAAAAAAAACUACUAAAACUGUAAAUUGUGAUGGCCGCCGACAGUCAACUUUCUUUUCUAAUUGAAUCUGCAAAAAGUGUGUGAUUUUGCAUUGUUAUAAAUAACUUUCAGUGAAAAGUUGUAUUAAAAUGAAAGUGAAAUCGUUUUUAAUUCAAAAACUACACUGCAUACAAAAGUUUUCGUGUUUAUGGCACAACUCCUCGAGUGAAACAUGUUCAGGCGUGCUAACAAUGAACAGUUAACGUGGGAGUUACUGGUAAUGUAAAGACGACAAGGGCGUUGGCGAGGUCAUUGUCUACUACCUCUACGGUGUCUCCAGCCUGACUCAUGCUACUACAUACAAAAUGUACCUAUGUAUGUAUUUAUGUAUAUGUAUGUAUGUAUACACAUUCGUACCAAUGUACAUAUGCAUGUAUGUACAUACAUAUGUAUGUAAUAAAUCGGAAGUGCCGCACAAUUGGAACCUAAAAUAUAUUCCGUUUCCGAACAUGCAGGUGGCUAGACUAUCAUAAUCGUUUGCAAUAUCUUGCGGCAGUUUCAUAAUAAAGAUUGGAAAAUUGAAAAUUGGUUUCUUCAGCAAAUAAUCUAUAGAUAUACGUAUGUUUUCGGUUUUCGCCAUUUUGUGGGCGUGGCAGUGGGUCGAUUUUGCCCAUCUUCGAACUUAACCUCCUUAUGGAGCCAAUAAAUACGUGUACCAAGUUUCAUCACGAUAUCUCAAUUUUUACUCAAGUUACAGCUUGCACGGACGGACGGACGGACAGACAGACAUCCGGAUUUCAACUCUACUCGUCACCCUGAUCACUUUGGUAUAUAUAAUCCUAUAUCUGACUCUUUUAGUUUUAGGACUUACAAACAACCGUUAUGUGAACAAAACUAAUACUCUCCUUAGCAACAUUGUUGCGAGAGUAUAGAAAUUUCCAACGAAACAGCAAAAUGUCUUUCAUACGUUUUUCUUAGAUAAGUGUAUGUAUUUA